rnacentral:lncRNA from 1 species
AUUACAUUUGAUUGGCCGUUUUUAAGCUCAACCAAACGUACACGUAAAAAAUUACAUAGAUUGGAAGAAAGAAUUGUAAUCAUUGAUCUCAAAGAGAAAUUACACACAGAGAAAUGGAGAGAGAAGCGAGGAGGAAGAGGAUAAUGGAGGGAGGGUCCGAUCGUUUGGCACUCAUCUCGGGCCGGGUUCACAGCAUGGACCCGCUGUCUUCCCCGAAUUCAUUUUCCGGCCAGUCAUCCACAUAUUCUACACCUGGUGAUAAUUAUCGUGGACACGCAUACUCUGAGUCAGAUUCCGGAAUAAACAAUACUGUUUUCUUUCCAGAUCAUCGUCAUGGUAUGCUCCGUUCAAAUUCUAUGCUUUUAUUUCAUUCUCUGCGUGGAUUUAUGUGAGAUAUACUUCAAUUUAUUCCGGGUGUGAAUUAUGAUUGUUUGCGUGAUGGAAUCGAGAAAUUAUGAAAUUUCCUAUUAAUCAUUAUCAUGGAAUUAAAAUGAGGUAAUAUUCUUGUACUUUAAUGCAGAUUUCAUUCGGGGUUUGAUUGAAAACUUUACUUCUUUUAGAAAAACCUGCUUUAUUUAUAUUUAUUGGUGGGCGUGGAGCUAAAUUGUGAUUUGUGGAACUAAAAUUAAAAUUCGGUGGAGAAUGUAUUGAGAAACUUUGUUCUUUUCUUGAUUGAAACUGAAACUGCAUCUUAAAUUUCAAGUGGAAGUUGAUGGAUUAUUGAACUUCAUUCGAGAUCAAAUUCAAAUACAAAAAUUGUCAACUACCACAGGAUGCAUUGUUCCUUUAAGCUAUCUUUGUUACCUAGUGCUGAUUACUUAACAGAGUAGGACCUUCCCUCGAACAGGAUUUUAGUUUUUUAUGUUCUUGUUUAUUACUUUCUAGUACUGUACAGCACGUUACUGUACAGCUUAUUACUAAACAAGGUUAAAGAAAUUUAUCUUGUCACAUUGUCAUUGUUUAUCUGAUUAUAAACAUUGAUCUUGAAGGUGGUAAUGACACAUUUAAUAUACAGUCGAGACACGAUAUCUUUGAUGAUGGCGAUUCUCAAGUAAAAGUAACUAAAUUUGAAGCCAAAGUUGCUGAAGUGGAGCAAUCUGAGGUAAAAUCAGUCCUCACACCACUUUCUGCUGCUAAACCUGGAAAUGAAGUAGAAUCAUCACUUGUGGCUACAACAGUCUCCAAGGCUUCAUAUGAUGCAAAUGCAAAGCCAUUUCAAAAACCAUUUGGCAACCUUUUCAGUUCAAGAACUCCAAGAGAAAUAAAUUCCUGCAUCAUCACCUCGGAGAAUACACGAGUUUUCUGUUCUAUUGUGAUAGCAAUUUUGGUAGUUCUAUCGCAUGUUAAUUUUCCCUGUAAAGUGGUGAAGUCGAAGAGCCUUAUUGCUUGGAGACCUCUUUAUGUAGUUUUGCUGACUGAUUUGAUGAUAGUAGCUGCUCGACUGGCACUCUAUGUGCAACGAGGUUCUGAUAAGGCGGAACAAGAUGAGGAACAAAGAUUUCAGGAAGAUGGGCAUAAUUGGGGAUCAGCCAUUAAGUUGUUGGAAUUCGGUUUGGUUUUGCAUCAGACGGUUCGUGCUGUAUUCAUUGAUUGCAGUUUUUACCUGGUGAUUGUAGUAUGUGGCCUUUCUUUAGUGUAGAAACACUUGCUGCAGCCUGCAUUCAUGAACGCUGGCUCCUGGGUUCACUUUGCUCUCGUAAGUGCAGCAUUAAAAUUGUUUAGCUUGAUUCCGUCUAUUUUCGUUUUAUGAGAUUUCUAUUUAAAUGACACUGUUAUUUGUAUUGUAGCAUCUUAUUAUUGAUAAAUCAGCUAUUUUGAUAAAUUGGAGAAAUAAGCAAAGUUCCGCCGAACUGGAAGAACUGAAUAAUUUUUCUCCAGUUCAUAUGGAAAAAGAAAAGAAAUAAAAUGGGUUCAGAGUAUUCUUUCUUGAGUUCUCCAGUUCAGACGC